UACGAAGGGUGCAAGCGUUACUCGGAAUUACUGGGCGUAAAGCGUGCGUAGGUGGUUUGUUAAGUCUGAUGUGAAAGCCCUGGGCUCAACCUGGGAAUUGCAUUGGAUACUGGCAAGCUAGAGUGCGGUAGAGGAUGGCGGAAUUCCCGGUGUAGCAGUGAAAUGCGUAGAGAUCGGGAGGAACAUCUGUGGCGAAGGCGGCCAUCUGGACCAGCACUGACACUGAGGCACGAAAGCUAGGGGAGCGAACGGG
rnacentral:rRNA from 1 species